CGUCACGACUCCGGCCCAUGCCAUGAGGUCCCCCCACCCUAGUUUCUGUUGUGAUUGACGGCACUGUCAGGGCUCUCUGAGCCUGUCAGCCCAUGAUUGAUUGACAAUGACAAACAUAGACCAAUAAUAUGUGUCGAGGCUGGCCACACACUGCUAGCCCCAAUUUAGAGAGAGAGUAAAAGACAAAACAUAGCGGACCGGACCGGCCCACAUUGGGUCAACGGCCCGCCGGGACGAUGCCCUGUAUGCCAGAUGGCCAGUCCACCCCUGCUCGGGGGGCAGAGGAGGUAGAGGAGGACGGGGCUCCAGAGACUUCACUGUCAGGGGCAGGAGAUGAUGAGGAGCUUGAGGAGGCAGCAGCAGGGCCAUCGCACAAUACAGGAUAUUCUGGAUACACUGGACGUCCCUGCUCUGAUGACGGAAUUCAUCAGCCCCACCCCAGAACGAAAGACCACCUUUGGAGUCCUACCAUCUACUUAAGUUCUUUGAAUGGGCGCAAGAGGAGGAUGGUUUGUAGGUCACCACUGUGUGCGUGCUUGCAUGCGUGCGUUUGCUUCGGAGUUCGGAGGAAGGAGUUUUUUCUUAACACCAGCCCAGCAGUGAGUCAGACCCAGAGGACGCUGAUGCUGCUCCUGCUCCUGCUCCUGCUCCUGCUCCUGCUCCUGCUCCUGCCCCUGUCCCUGUCCCUGCCGCUGGCCCUUCCUGUGUACCUGUCCCUGAGGCUGGCCCUGCCCCAAGACCACAGAGCGGGACGAAGAGGAAGAGAGCCAGGGUACCAGAGGGGAACACAAAUAUGCAGGGAGCCAUCCUCCAGGCCCUGCAGAGGCAAAAUGCUGUGCCUACCCCUACCCCGCUCUCUGGGAAUGAGCACUUUGUCAUGGGCCUAGUUCCUUCCCUGGAGAGAUUGCCACCUGAAGCACUGGAGUACGUUAAAUUCAAAAUUCGUAAGGUCAUAUUUGACAAUUUCACCCUUAAUUUGGAACCUUUUUAAGCCUAUUAGCUAGUGGUGGUGACAAUCUCUCCAGGGAAAGAACUAGGCUGAUGUCACUGUGCUACUGUUAACUGUUAAUUUGUUAUUGUUCUGUUAUGUUUAUAUCAUAUUGUUCUUAUGUUAUUUUUAUUAUUUUUAUUUUUAUUUUUUAAAUAAAAUAUUUCUCACAACUCUUCUC
ensembl:lncRNA